ACUACUAUAUAAAACAUGCAACAGAUAGAAAACACUUAAAUUUGAAAGAAAAACAUGAAUUUAAGAGGAAACUUGAUAGGGGUUAUUGUUAACUUUUUUUUGAAAAACUUUGUUUUUAGAGACAAACUCAGUGUGCUUCGAAAAAAGGCACAUUUGUUGUUUGAAAAAUACCAUAUUGCCCCUGUCUCCUUUUCCCUUCUUCUUCUUCAUGG